ensembl:ncRNA F26D11.14 ncRNA
AGCUCUGGAAAGAAGAGAAGGCGAGAAGAGAUUAGCGGAGCUCUCUAACCAACCCCCUUUCAUUUCAGUGUGAUGAGGUAGUGGUGGUGGUUGAAGUAAGAGACUCACGCACUCUGGCUCACCUGGCAACAACACUCACCGUUAUCCAACUGAGACAAAUUCAUUGUUAUCACUUGUCUCCUCUGCAUCCUUU